rnacentral:rRNA from 1 species
AGUCGAGGGGUAUAGUUCUUCGGAAUUAGAGACCGGCGCACGGGUGCGUAACGCGUAUGCAAUCUACCUUUUACAGAGGGAUAGCCCAGAGAAAUUUGGAUUAAUACCUCAUAGUAUAGCAGUUUCGCAUGAAACCACUAUUAAAGUCACAACGGUAAAAGAUGAGCAUGCGUCCCAUUAGCUAGUUGGUAAGGUAACGGCUUACCAAGGCUACGAUGGGUAGGGGUCCUGAGAGGGAGAUCCCCCACACUGGUACUGAGACACGGACCAGACUCCUACGGGAGGCAGCAGUGAGGAAUAUUGGACAAUGGGCGCAAGCCUGAUCCAGCCAUGCCGCGUGCAGGAUGACGGUCCUAUGGAUUGUAAACUGCUUUUAUACAGGAAGAAACCCUGGUUCGUGAACCAGCUUGACGGUACUGUAAGAAUAAGGAUCGGCUAACUCCGUGCCAGCAGCCGCGGUAAUACGGAGGAUCCAAGCGUUAUCCGGAAUCAUUGGGUUUAAAGGGUCCGUAGGCGGUUUAAUAAGUCAGUGGUGAAAGCCCAUCGCUCAACGGUGGAACGGCCAUUGAUACUGUUAAACUUGAAUUAUUAGGAAGUAACUAGAAUAUGUAGUGUAGCGGUGAAAUGCUUAGAGAUUACAUGGAAUACCAAUUGCGAAGGCAGGUUACUACUAAUGGAUUGACGCUGAUGGACGAAAGCGUGGGUAGCGAACAGGAUUAGAUACCCUGGUAGUCCACGCCGUAAACGAUGGAUACUAGCUGUUGGGAGCAAUCUCAGUGGCUAAGCGAAAGUG